rnacentral:rRNA from 1 species
AUUGAACGCUGGCGGCAGGCCUAACACAUGCAAGUCGCACGAGUCCCGGACGGGUUACUUAUGUCUGUGCAACUGCCCGCUGGAGUGGGUUCCCUACUUUCAACUGUAGCUAAUACCGCAUCCCCUCUCAUCUGCCCACAUGGGAUUAGCUAGUAGGUGGGGUAACGGCUCACCUAGGCGACGAUCCCUACCUGGUCUGAGAGGAUGACCAGCAAAACUGGAACUGAGACACGGUCCAGACUCCGACGGGAGGCAGCAGUGGGGAAUAUUGCACAAUGGGCGAAAGCCUGAUGCAGCCAUGCCGCGUGUAUGAAGAAGGGCUUCGGGUUGUAAAGUACUUUAAGCGAGGAGGCGUUACUAGCAGAAGAAGCACAGGCUAACUCCGUGCCAGCCGCCGCGGUAAUAC